UGAGGAAUAUUGGACAAUGGGCGCAAGCCUGAUCCAGCCAUGCCGCGUGCAGGAAGAAGCAUCUAUGGUGUGUAAACUGCUUUUGUACGGGAAGAAACACUCCUACGUGUAGGAGCUUGACGGUACCGUAAGAAUAAGGAUCGGCUAACUCCGUGCCAGCAGCCGCGGUAAUACGGAGGAUCCAAGCGUUAUCCGGAAUCAUUGGGUUUAAAGGGUCCGUAGGCGGUUUAAUAAGUCAGUGGUGAAAGCCCAUCGCUCAACGAUGGAACGGCCAUUGAUACUGUUAGACUUGAAUUACAAGGAAGUAACUAGAAUAUGUAGUGUAGCGGUGAAAUGCUUAGAUAUUACAUGGAAUACCAAUUGCGAAGGCAGCCUACUACGGGGUGAUUGACACUGAGUCACGAGAGCAUGGGGAGCAAACA
rnacentral:rRNA from 1 species